CCUGGGAUAGCUCAGUCAGUAAAGCAAGAGACUCUUAAUCUCAGGGUGAUGGAUUCGAACCCCACCCCUGGGC